rnacentral:rRNA from 1 species
GGAAAGGUUUACGGUGGAUACCUAGGCACCUAGAGACGUGGAAGGGCGUAGUAAUCGACGAAAUGCUUCGGGAAGUUGAAAAUAAGCAUAGAUCUGGAGAUUCCUAAAUAGGGAAACCUUUGGAACUGCUGCUAAAUCCAUGGGCUGGCAAGAGACAACCUGGCGAACUGAAACAACUUGGUAGCUAGAGGAAAUGAAAGCAAAAGCGAUUCCCGUAGUAGCAGCGGGUGAAAUGGGAGCAGCCUAAACCGUGAAAAUGACGUUGUGGGAAAGCAAUACAAGCGUCAUGCUGCUAGGCGAAGCAGCCCGAAUGCUACACCCAAGAUGAUGAAAGUCCAGUAGCCAAAAGCAUCACUAGCUUAUGCUCUGACCCGAGUAGCAUGGGGCACGUGGAAUCUCGUGUGAAUCAGCAAGGACAACCUUGCUAGGAUAAAUACUCAUGGGUGAUCGAUAGUAAAGUAGUACCGUGAGGGAAUGGUGUAAAGAACCCCCAUCGGGGAGUGAAAUAGAACAUAAAACCGUAAGCUCCCAAGUAGUGGGAGGAGCCAGGGCUUUGACCGCGUGCCUCUUAAAGAAUGAGCCGGCGACUCAUAGGCAGUGGCUUGGUUAAGGGAACCCACCGGAGCCGUAGCGAAAGCGAGUCUUCAUAGGGCAAUUGUCACUGCUUAUGGACCCGAACCUGGGUGAUCUAUCCAUGACUAGGAUGAAGCUUGGGUGAAACUAAGUAGAGCUCCGAACUGACUGAUGUUGAAGAAUCAGCGGAUGAGUUGUGGUUAGGGGUGAAAUGCCACUCGAACCCAGAGCUAGCUGGUUCUCCCCAAAAUGCGUUGAGGCGCAGCAGUUGACUGGACAUCUAGGGGUAAAGCACUAUUUUAGUGUGGGCUGCGAGAGCGGUACCAAAUCGAGGCAAACUCUGAAUACUAGAUAUGACCUCAAAAUAAUAGGGGUCAAGGUCGGCUACUGAUACGAUGGGGGAUAAGCUUCAUCGUCGAGAGGGAAAUAGCCCGGAUCACCAGCUAAGGCCCCUAAAUGAUCGCUCAGUGAUAAAGGAGGUAGGGGUGUAGAGACAGCUAGGAGGUUUGCCUAGAAGCAGCCACCCUUGAAAGAGUGCGUAAUAGCUCACUGAUCAAGCGCUCUUGCGCCGAAGAUGAACGGGGAUAAGCCUCCGCGCGAGUGGUGGUGGACGAAGCGGAAGCGAGAAUUUUGGCUUGAGUAAUGCAAACAUUGGUGAGAAUCAAAUACCCCGAAAACCUAAGGGUUCCUCUGCAAGGUUCAUCCACUGAGGGUGAGUCAGGGCCUAAGAUCAGGCCGAAAGGCGUAAUCGAUGGACAACAGGUGAAUAUUCCUAUACUUCCCCUUGUUGGUCCUGAGGGACGGAGGAGGCUAGGUUAGCCGAAAGAUGGUUAUCGGUUCAAGAACGUAUGGUGUCCCUGCUUUGUCAGGGUAAGAAGGGGUAGAGAAAAUGCCUCUAGCUAAUGUUCGAAUACCAGGUGCUACGGCGCUGAAGUAACCCAUGCCAUACUCCCAUGAAAAGCUCGAACGACUUUGAGCAAGAGGGUACCUGUACCCGAAACCGACACAGGUGGGUAGGUAGAGAAUAACUAGGGGCGUGAGACAAUUCUCUCUAAGGAAAUCGUCAAAAUAGCCCCGUACCUUCGUGAGAAGGGGUGCCUCCUCACAAAGGGGGUCGCAGUGACCAGGCCCGGGCGACUGUUUACCAAAAACAUAGGUCUCCGCAAAGUUGUAAGACCAUGUAUGGGGGAUGACGCCUACCUAGUGCCCGAAGGUCAAGGAAGUGGUGACCUGAUGACAGGGGAGCCGGUGAUCGAACCCCCGGUGAACGGCGACCAUAACUAUAACGAUCCUAAGGUAGUGAAAUUGCUUGUUAGGUAAGUUCCGACCAGCACGAAAGGCGUAAUGAUCUGGGCACUGUCUCGGAGAGAGGCUCGGUGAAAUAAACAUGUUUGUGAAGAUGCUGACUACCUGCAACUGGAUAGAAAGACCCUAUGAAGCUUCACUGUUCCCUGGGAUUGGCUUUGGGCCUUUCCUGCGCAGCUUAGGUGGAAGGCGAAGAAGGCCUCCUUCCGGGGGGGCCCGAGCCAUCAGUGAGAUACCACUCUGGAAGGGCUAGAAUUNCGGGGGGGGGGAGUCAUUAGUGAGAUACCACUCUUGAAGGGCUAGAAUUCUAAACUUGUAUGAGGACCUACGGGCCAAGGGACAGUCACGGGUAGAUAGUUUCUAUGGGGCAUAGGCCUCCAAAAGGUAACGGAGGCGUGCAAAGGUUUCCUCGGGCAGGACAGAGAUUGGCCCUCGAGUGCAAAGGAAGAAGGGAGCUUGACUGCAAGACCCACUCAUCGAGCUGGGAUGAAAGUCAACCUUAGUGAUCUGACGAUGCCAAGUGGAAGGGCCGUCGCUCAGCGGAUAAAAGUUUCUCUAGGGAUAAUAGGCUGAUCUUCCCCAAGAGCUCAGAUCGACGGGAAGGUUUGGUACCUCGAUGUCGGCUCUUCGCCACCUGGGGCUGUAUUAUGUUCCAAGGGUUGGGCUGUUCGCCCAUUAAAGCGGUACGUGAGCUGGUUUCAGAAUGUCAUGAGACAGUUCGGUCCAUAUCUGGUGUGGGAGUUAGAGCAUUGAGAGGACCUUUCCCUAGUACGAGAGGACUGGGAAGGACACACCUUUGGUGUACAAGUUAUCGUGCUCACGGUAAAUGCUGGGUAGCCAAGUACGGAGCGGAUAACUGCUGGAAGCAUCUAAAUAGUAAGCCCACCCCAAGAUGAGUGCUCUCCUAUUCCAACUUCCCCAGAGUCUCCGGUAGCACAACCGAGACAACGAUGGGUUCUCUGCCCCUGCGGGGAUGGAGCGACAGAAGUUUUUUUGAUAAUUCAAGAGAAGGUCACGACGAGAUGAGCCAUUUACCAUUACGAUAGGUGUCAAGUGGAAGUGCAGUGAUGUAUGCAGCUGAUGCAUCCUAACAGACCGAUAGAUUGUUCC